rnacentral:tRNA from 1 species
GGAUGUAGCUCAGGUGGUAGAGUGCUUGCCCUGCGUGCACAAAGCCCUGGGUUCCAUCCCCAGCACCA